UCACAUCUGUUGGGUUUUGAGCAUUCUAACACUUCCUAAGUGUACAUGCAACCCUAAAUACCUUGGAUCUAUGUUUUCUCUAUUAUACAUGCAAAUAAGAACAUCCAAGGUAUUAUCCUAAUCUAGCAUACAAAAACUAUGAAUGUAACAAGAUAGAAUACAUACCUCUUGAUGUAGCUUGAUGUCUUCAAGCUUUAAGAGCUUAGCCCCAAUAGUGUGGAAGCCUCAAGUGGAAUCACAAAUCACCAAGACACCUUGGAAUACUUUAGAGAAUAUGAUUACUUGGUUCUCUCUAGUGAAAUUGGCUAGCCCUUCUUUAGUGUAUCCACACUAGUGCCAAUUUCACCAACCAAAGACAUCUUUAUAUAGUAUGGAGGAUUAGGGUUAAACCCUAAUACCCAUGACCUUUCAUUUCCUAGGAUCCAUGGGUUAAACACUCCAUGGACUAUCCAUGAAAGCUUAGCCCAACCUAAAUGAACUUGGCCCAUUCCAUAUAUAUAAGAGUCCAUAUUUAAUUAGUUCCUUUUGAUCACUUAAUUAAUUAUAAAUUAAUUCUUGAUCAAUACUAAUUAAAUAAUAUGAUUCCAUAUUAAUAUAUUAGAACUUAUAAUAUAUUAAUAUUAAUCAUAAACAUACUAUUCUCAAAAGAUUAUCCAUAUAAAUUGUGUCGGUGAAGUGCAACCCAAAUGGACCAUGCCGGGUCGGGUCAAGUACAUACCAAAUAUAGUUAUGGACUUAGACAUUAAUCCAACAGUCUCCCACUUGGAUAAGUCUAAAACUAUUAUUGCGUAUGACUUCAAACCUAACUGGCAAUCGUAGCUCUUAAAGCUGCUGUCGAACUCUGAUCUUGUCAACGAACUUGUCCAUUAGAUAAGGGAUCAUAUAUUCCUCCAUUCUAGAUAUCAUAUGGACUGAGACAUGGAUUAUAAUCAUUCUCUCUGUCCAUUUGUUGUUUCCCGAUUUCCGAUUUAUGACGACUGACUAAUUGAACAAAUCAAAUCAGUCCUGGCCCGGCCGAGCACUUCCAUUUGUCAUCAUCAAAUCAUCGAGGGGCCCACAGAUAUCGCUUUUAUCCCGAAGGUAAAAGGAAUGGAUAAACUUCGACUCAUAUGGCUUGUUCUACUACUUGUUGAAUCAUACACAAAGGCACGUUUUAUAGCACCGAGUUACCAAAUGCGUUUUCGUGCAAUCAAUGUACAACCAACUCAUAGUAACAACUCAUAUCUCUAGGUUUGAAGAAUAUAAGAUAUUAUCGUCUCAUGAUCACUCGUGAUAAAAUCCAUGAAGUGAUUCCAAUGAGCGCGGGUUGAAUCCAAUACUCAGAACUUAUGAGCACUCAUGAGUGUUGUAGCCCUUUGUCCAACACCUUAGACCUCUACAAGCCAACCCAUGACAGUCUUAAUUCAUAUCUACUUCCAACAUAUGACCGACUGUGGAUGGUUUGAAUAACUUAGUCAUUCCGGAAGAAUAACCUAGUUUAUUCGGGAAGUCAAAACAUGCAAAGUGAAACACAAUAAUAAUUGAAUCCAAUAUGGUAUCAAAUCUUUGAACAUAAAUAAAACACCUUUUAUUUAUCACCAUAUGAUUACACAUUAUUCAUUGUAUACUGUUUCAGCUAUCAACUUUAUUCUUGAAUUUAAAACAAUAGUUGUCCCAUGCUCCAAGCAUGUACACUAUGUUUUCUUAAACACUAGUCAUGCCACACACCAAGUAUGCAUACUAUGUUUGUCUAUGAUCUUUACUUUGUGAACUAGAUCAAUUGAACAUAACUUCAAUGAUUCUCUUUUCACACUCCCAAAUCCUUACUGCAAAUGCAAGAAUUCCAAAUUCAUGCCAUUUACUGAAAUCUGUUAGAUUCUAAACUUAUAUGCAUUGAUCCUCUUGUAAUGAUUAUGCACAAAGUCAGAAAGACUUGACAACAAUCAUUACAGAGUAUUCCAAAGGAGAUCAGCUCCUUGGAAACAUCCUUCUUGCAUUAAGUUUCCUAAUCUUAAACAGAUUGAAAAUUCUAACUUUGAAACAUUUCCAGAUUCCAUUUUGACUAUCACUUCUGAACAAGAGUUGCCUCCUUACAGAUUAUGUCAAUAUGGUCCUUCCAGAAUUAUCACUAUACUUCCAACUGUCCUUGAGCAACCAAUCUUUGGUAAACCUUAGAUUGUCCUCGACAAUUGUUUAAUCCUUUUAGUCAUAUCCAGUUCUAAACCUUUUCCCUUCUUAAUGCCCCAGGCAUUUGGAAAAUUUUAGAACGGAUGAAUAUAGCACAUGUAAUCGAUCCUAUAUCCGAAGCAUAUGGGACACGAUUCAUGAUGUCUCACAUAAAGACUAAACCAGUCUUUUGCUAUAACAUUUCCAUUUCAAUUUGCCAAGUUCUCAUAAUUCAGAUUAUGAAAAGGGAUGCCGUAAUCAUAAUCGAAUUUUAGAACGCAAAUAAUGGACCCAUAUACAGAAUUUCCUUAUGUUGAGCCAUUCCAACAUGAAAUUCAUAUAUAUCCUUGACUAAAUGAUUAAAACCUCACGAUCUAAGCUUAUAGAUUUGAGAUGAAGUAUAAUUUCCUCUCCCUUAAUUAUAGCAAAACAACUUUUUCCCAAUUGAAACUUUUGUUUUCUAUAAUUAACAUUGCUAACUUGCAAUACUUAUCAUAAUUAUCAUGCUCCCACUAACAUGAUGAUUAUUAGCAUAACACUUAUGCUCCCACUAGCUUUGACAUGUACUCAGAAAUCAGCUGGACUUCUAGAAAUCAAUACUUCAUUGACUUUCUUACCAAAGUUCAGAUUUCUGAUACUAGAUUGUUUUGAUAAAACUGUAUCAAAAUCAUACACCUUCCCUUAGAUAGCACACUUGUGUAUCUAAACAAUUAUGAAGAGGGAUGCCGUAAUCAUAAUGUUUAGACCUUUUUGCCACUUCUCACAAGUCCAAGUUAGUGUGCCGGUUAACCACACGCGCUCCACUAACGACUUUGAGAAUGCAAAUAUCACAAUUGCUAUCUAGCUAAAAUCUACUUAGUGAAAGUGUUUCCUCACCAUCAUUUUCAUGAAUCGGAGAGAAACCUUAUGACACUUAGAUUUAAUGGUGUAUGUGUUCUUAUCCAUGUGAAUUGUCAAAAUCAUAGUCACAAGACAAGGAUAAUGACAAAUCCAAACUCAUAUGGACUGAACUCAAUCUUAAUUUCUUGCCACCUGGCAGCUCAAGGGCCUACCAUUGCUUCCAAGUUGUUGUGCAACAAAUUGAGAACUCUAAGAACUCAUAUGCAAAGCCAACUUUAACUGGAAUGGGCACAGAAUAUGUCAACACGAUAGGUUAUGAACCUCAAGUUGUGUGCUAGUGAAGAACUUUAGGUUUUAUUCUUGAUUAGUUCUUGAGACUUUCAAGACCUUUAAGACUCCCACUGUCCUCUUGACCUAUAAGACUCCCUUGUCAAACAUCCAAGAGAUAGUGCGGAUUCUAAUCAAGAAAAACACUUCACACAAUUGGCCUAAGUUGGUCUUUGUUUUAUCCAAAACAUCACAACUUACCAAUUUCAAAUGUACAAGAGUAGAAAACUUUUACUCUUACAUUUGACAAGUGUUUUAAACCUUCUUUAAGACAUGUCACUCAAAUGACAAUCUUGGAGUAUGACUCUAAGACUUGUAUUGGAACGAAGUAUGACUCAUCUUCUUGAUUUAACCAUUUCAACAAUUCAAGUUCCUCUUCUUAGUCAUAAGAAUGCACUAAGAUUUCCUUAGAGAACUAAUUUUGAUAUGGUUUCUUAAUCAUUAAGAUGAUCACAAAACUGAUACUAAAGUACUCUCCCAUCUUUUCAGAUUUGAGAAACUUUUAUCCUUCUGCCUUAUUUGAUUCUUCUUAUCGAUCUUUAGUGGUGGACUUAAUCAGUGCACAAGAAUGUGUACUCGAUCCCUAAGUCCUUUACUUGACUCACACAUCCAUGUGAACAAGUAAUUAGUCUUAAUUUUCCAAAACUUGAAAGUUCUCAUUCAUCAUGCUAUACAACUUGCAUGAUUCCAAGUUCCGGUCCAAUUGAAACUUGGGUGAUGAGAAUCUUUCCUUAUUUGGUAAAUUUAGACAUUACCACAAAUGAAAGAAUCAAUUUCAUACUUCCACUCUUGCUACUAAUGGAAUCUUAUAAGCAACAAAAAUUUCCACAGAUGCCAUUGUAAGGAUAUUUUAAAAUAAAUAAAAUCAAAAAUUUCCUUUUAUUUUAAAACUUUGCGGAAAAACUAUCCUUACAAUCCAUAUGAAAACUUGUUGUUAUCUAUUCCUAAGCAAUAUCUCAUAACUCCUAAGAAGUAGCUCAAGAAUCCGAUUUUUCAAACUAUGCGAUAGAAAUCCAUCUAUGCGAUCAGAUUCAGCAUAUUCUUCCUUUAAGUUUCUUCACUUUCCUUUGAUUCUUAAACCAUCACCAUGCGACCCGGUCACAUCAUGUAUCAAGAAUCUCAGAAUAGAAACUUAACAGAGUUAGAUAGUGGAUUUUACCUGAAGUAGAGUCAAACUUAUUGACUUUAACAUCCUUAGGUAAAUUUGGCAGCUUCGCAACCAAUGCCCUUUCUUUGGCAAUACAAACAUAUGGACCCUUUGAUAAUGGUACACAGGACUAUCACAGACUUAGCUUUUCUCUUUACCAUUUGGUCAACCGAGUUGACUAUAGCCGAUCCCUUUCCAUUGGGAAGAGAAUGCUUUACUGGAUAUCCAAUGUCAUCAUUGUCAAUGUCCAUAAAGUUUUAGGAAGUUGAUCUUAACAAAUAGAUAAGAUCAUUAAGGGUCUUGUCAUAGUCUUUUUCAUAGGUGUUCCAAAAGAACUCACUAUGUGACUUAGAAAGUAGUUGAACCACCAACUUUCUCAAGACUUUGACACCCAACUCUCCCGGCUUGUCAAUAUGUGACUACAUCUCCAAGAUGUGACCACACCUAGACCUUGCCUUGCCAAAAGGGCCUGAGUGACCUUAAACUUUUCAAGAACUUGUGGGUUAGGGAGAAUAAUUUGAAGAGGUGAAGAAGUAUGAUAUCCAUGGGACAUCAUCUUCAUUAGGAAACCUUGUUUCAAGAGAUUUGGGAAGAUCAUAGGUGUCUAAACCAGACAUCUUUUGGGAGAUAUUCAAGAUAGUUGAUUUAAAGUCCUUAAUAUGACACCCAAUAUGAAAUAUUAAGGCUAGGACCCAACAAACUAUUUUAUAACUUAGAAGAGGUAUGCCGUAAUCCAAGCUAUAAAAUAUUUGAAGGUAGGUGAAUGACGAUUCACCAAUUUCCACCAAGAUAAACGAAAUGUAUUAUUAGGUUUUAAUUGGUUUUGAAACUCCUAGAUCUUUGAGAUUCAUUGAACUUUUCAAAGGCAUGUUUCAAUCUCGAGUGUGCCCUUCAGGUUUUGUGACUGGGAUGCCGAGGAUCACAAAACAAGGUGUGAAGUAACCAUGCAAAUCACUUGGUACCCUUAAUAAAUUACCCCUCAAUCGAUGUGCCGGUUAACCACACACGCUCCAUCGAUACUAUGAUAAAUAUUAAGUCACCCUUUACCUACCUUGUUAAGUCCAAGUUAGUGUGCCGGUUAACCACACACGCUCCACUAACGACUUAGACAAAGUGUAAAGUGUAAUUUCAUGGAUUAGCACCUUAUUCACAUUUUUCCUAAGUAACUAAGAUUGGGUAUUAUUAAGAGUUUAGUUACUUAGUAUUAUCAUUAAUACUUUUAAUGAAGGGAGAAUUCUAGUCCUGUCAAACCCGUUCGGCUAACGACCCUCCACCAGUCAAGCAAGCGGUGGGUGAGAGUGGACACCCAUUAAGUUGCCAUUUUAUAGGCAACAACCUUAUACCCACCUUAUAGACCGGCUUCGUGAAUGAGGCGUACUAGCGGUAAGACUGACUUUACUCUUAUACAUAUAUAUAUUAUUAACUUAUAAUAUUAUAAAGUAUAAGGGUUGAAUUUUAACUUUUAAAAUUCUAAGGGCUAACUUGGAAUUAAAGUAUUCAUAAGUGAAAACUUUACAAAUUCCAAAACUUGAGGGCAAGUUUUGAAACUAUUCAAAACUAAUUAAUUCCAUAACUUAUGUGUUUAAAGUAGUUUUAAUCCAAAAACUCUUCAAGUUCCAUAACUUGAGGACAAGUUAUGGAAGACUUUAAACUAAUAAAAGAAUUAACUUUUCUUUAUUUUAUAACUUAUGGAAUUAAUUAAGGUUACACUUUUUUUUUUUUUAUUUUAUUUUAUUAAAUGAAGAGACUCUUGGUCCUCCAUAACUUGAGGACAAGUUAUGGAGUCAUAAAACCAUUUAAUUAGAACUAGACUCUUCAUUUUUGUAACCUUUGCCAAUUUUUAUGAGUUUUAUGAUUCUUAAAUGUGACUUUUCAUAUAACUUGAGGACAAGUUACAAAAACACAUUUUAGAAUCAAUUCUUAGAUUAAUUUGGAUUAAAACCAACUAUCACAUAAUUUUAUUCAUUAAUCUAAAUUCACUCAUAAAACAAGGUAACACAAAAAACUUUUGGUGAUCCAUAACUUAUUCUUAAGUUAUGGAAUCCUUUAAAACAUUAACACCAAAUUUUGUAACUCCAAAAAAACUUUGAAUCAAUUUUUUUUUUAAAACCUUUUCAUAUCCAUAACUUAUGGAGGUUUCAAAAAAUAAAACUCUUUAGAUCAAACUUUUAAAACUAAUAAAAUAAUCAUAUUAUUUUAUCUUUUAUUAAAUUUGACCUAAUUCAACUCAUAAAGCAAAUUAUUCAAAUUUUACAAAUAAUUAGUUUUUCACAAGAACAAGUAAUUAUCUUAAAAUUUGACAAACUUCAUGUUUUUUUUUUUUUUUUUUUUCAACUUUGAAAAUAAAAUAUUUGCAUCAAUAUAACAGAAAACAACCCGUGGCUCUGAUACCACUGUUGGGUUUUGAGCAUUCUAACACUUCCUAAGUGUACAUGCAACCCUAAAUACCUUGGAUCUAUGUUUUCUCUAUUAUACAUGCAAAUAAGAACAUCCAAGGUAUUAUCCUAAUCUAGCAUACAAAAACUAUGAAUGUAACAAGAUAGAAUACAUACCUCUUGAUGUAGCUUGAUGUCUUCAAGCUUUAAGAGCUUAGCCCCAAUAGUGUGGAAGCCUCAAGUGGAAUCACAAAUCACCAAGACACCUUGGAAUACUUUAGAGAAUAUGAUUACUUGGUUCUCUCUAGUGAAAUUUGCUAGCCCUUCUUUAGUGUAUCCACACUAGUGCCAAUUUCACCAACCAAAGACAUCUUUAUAUAGUAUGGAGGAUUAGGGUUAAACCCUAAUACCCAUGACCUUUCAUUUCCUAGGAUCCAUGGGUUAAACACUCCAUGGACUAUCCAUGAAAGCUUAGCCCAACCUAAAUGAACUUGGC
rnacentral:lncRNA from 1 species